GCCAGGAGGAGGGGCCACCACCUCGUUCAGAGGAGGAACAGAGUAGAGACCAGCCAGCACCGUCCCCACUGGGUACCAUCCUGAUGGAGACAGGUUGUAGGUAUAGUACACCAUCAGACCCAGCAGCAGCAGCAACAGGAGACCCACAGACAGACCAACAGCCAAUAGUAACACCUGGUCUGAACAAACAAGCACAUUAACAAGGAAAAUAAGCCCAAAGGUGGAUAGCAGGCAUUGGGUCUAAUGCAGUUUACCACUUACCUGCCAUGCUUAUUUUAACUCUCCUUGUCUUUUGUUCUUGUCAGCUGUCACUCAGACUUACUGGCUGUCGUUGUGACUGUAGUUGACCUGUUUAGCAGUGGUGUGUGAAGUGUAUACUGUGUGUGACCCAGAGAGUAGAGAGUACAACACAUAUGGCUGAUUCUCACCAUUUCAUGCUGUUAUCUGGCUUUUUGGUUGGCAGCUACACUCAUACCCCUUUAAAAGGACCAUACCACUGAUUUAGGAUGUUUUAGCCCAGUCACAAAUUACAUAAACCUCACAUUACAGCGAAGCAUUUGCAAACCAUGCUGUUGUGUUUUAGAUUGUUGAAUGUAUUAUUAAGGAAUUAAAAGUUGCAAAAACAUUGA